GCCCGGCUAGCUCUGUCGGUAGAGCACGAGACUCUUAAUCUCGGGGUCGUAGGUUCUAGCCCCACGUUGGGCG